rnacentral:piRNA from 1 species
UUUACCUGUAUUUCUUAAAGU